AAUCAAUACUCUCGGAUCUGCUGCUAGUCUCCUAAAGAGGCGUGGCCGUGGCGGAGCCCACAUGACACAGACACAGGAAACUACUCUGAGUUGGGGCAUGUCGGUUCCAA